GCAUCGAUAGCUCAUUAGCAGAGCGUUGGAGUGUUUAUUUAUGCAGCCCGGGUUCGAUCCCCGGUCGAUGCA